rnacentral:ncRNA from 2 species
UAUAAGCUGUGUGACUGGCGGAAAUGUAUGUUUUUACAUACAGUGAGAUUACUCACAGGGAACAUAGCAGUUUUUAAAUGCCGACCGCCUGGGCGACCUUU